UGGGUUUGCGAUGAUUAUAAAAUAAUUCCUCGUACUGAAAUGCUGUUGCCACAGCAUGAUAGACUCUUUUACACCCAUAGAAUAUGAGCACC
rnacentral:snoRNA from 1 species